UACGGGGGGGGCAAGCGUUGUUCGGAAUUACUGGGCGUAAAGGGCCAGUAGGCGGCCAACUAAGUCGGAUGUGAAAUCCCCAGGCUUAACCUGGGAACUGCAUCCGAUACUGGAUGGCUUGAAUUCGGGAGAGGGAUGCGGAAUUCCAGGUGUAGCGGUGAAAUGCGUAGAUAUCUGGAGGAACACCGGUGGCGAAGGCGACGUCCUGGACCGGCAUUGACGCUGAGGCGCGAAAGCCAGGGAGCAAACGGG
rnacentral:rRNA from 1 species